AUUGAACGCUGGCGGCAUGCCUUACACAUGCAAGUCGAACGGCAGCACGGGAGCAAUCCUGGUGGCGAGUGGCGAACGGGUGAGUAAUAUAUCGGAACGUGCCCGGUCGUGGGGGAUAACGUAGCGAAAGCUACGCUAAUACCGCAUACGAUCUACGGAUGAAAGCGGGGGAUCGCAAGACCUCGCGCGAUUGGAGCGGCCGAUAUCAGAUUAGGUAGUUGGUAAGGUAAAGGCUCACCAAGCCGACGAUCUGUAGCUGGUCUGAGAGGACGACCAGCCACACUGGGACUGAGACACGGCCCAGACUCCUACGGGAGGCAGCAGUGGGGAAUUUUGGACAAUGGGCGCAAGCCUGAUCCAGCAAUGCCGCGUGCAGGAUGAAGGCCUUCGGGUUGUAAACUGCUUUUGUACGGAACGAAACGGUGAGCUCUAAUACAGUUUGCUAAUGACGGUACCGUAAGAAUAAGCACCGGCUAACUACGUG
rnacentral:rRNA from 1 species